UGCCGGCGACCGGCGCACGGGUGAGUAACACGUAUGCGACCUGCCCCCCGCACGGGGGAUAACCGGGAGAAAUCCCGACUAAUACCGCGUAACGCCGCGGACCUGCAUGGGUCUGCGGCCAAAGGAAGCGAUUCCGGCGGGGGAUGGGCAUGCGGCGCAUUAGCUAGUCGGCGGGGUAACGGCCCACCGAGGCGACGAUGCGUAGGGGUUCUGAGAGGAAGGUCCCCCACACUGGUACUGAGACACGGACCAGACUCCUACGGAAGGCAGCAG
rnacentral:rRNA from 1 species